rnacentral:snRNA from 1 species
GUGCUCGCUUUGGCAGCACAUAUACUAAAAUUGGAACAAUACAGAGAAGAUUAGCAUGGCCCUUGCUCAAGGAUGACAUGCAAAUUCGUGAAGCAUUCCAUAUUUAU